ACUUUUCAUGUCACUCCCCUCUUAUGAUGUGGGAAAGGCAGUGACAUCUGCUUAAAAUCAUCACUAAUACCCUUAUGUUAUAAUGAAGCAUAUUUUCAAAGCGUGUCGUUACCAUUUUUAUCAGCAUAGCUUUUCCUUGGUUCCAUGUUCUAUGUCUACAACUCAGAAGGGAAAGAAAGGCACAUGUUUCAGCCCCACAUGGGGUCAGGAGAGACUGUUAUGACUGAGUCCUGAGCUGCUGUUGCCUGGAGUCACACCAUUUUCCUAAUUUUUAGUUCCUGCGGUAAAAGUCUUGUCCUUAACAGCAGCGGGGGCUGUGUGAGGAAAAUCAAUCAGGGAAACUGUUUUAAAAGGUUUUAAAUGAUUACCAGAGCAUAGUAUAAUCACUUCAGGAACCAAGACAACAAUUUGACAAGUGAAAAACUCCCCAAAUUCCACUGGCUUGCCUGAAAGCCUGUUACAAAAAAACAAACAUCUGACAAAUCAAUCAAUCUAGCUUAAACAUCCAAACAGAGGGCUUUGUCACUGAGUGAGGGAGAAGCAGCAUGAGAUGACUGGGUGGGUUUUCCACCAAAUGGACAUCCAGAAGAGACAACUUAAAUCUUGAGCUGUUUGGGA
rnacentral:lncRNA from 1 species